rnacentral:rRNA from 1 species
UACGUAGGGUGCAAGCGUUGAUCGGAAUUACUGGGCGUAAAGCGUGCGCAGGCGGUUUUGUAAGUCUGUCGUGAAAUCCCCGGGCUCAACCUGGGAACGGCGAUGGAGACUGCAAGGCUAGAGUUUGGCAGAGGGGGGUAGAAUUCCACGUGUAGCAGUGAAAUGCGUAGAUAUGUGGAGGAACACCGAUGGCGAAGGCAGCCCCCUGGGUCAAAACUGACGCUCAUGCACGAAAGCGUGGGGAGCAAACAGG